rnacentral:rRNA from 1 species
GACGAACGCUGGCGGCGUGCCUAAUACAUGCAAGUAGAACGCUGAAGGAGGAGCUUGCUUCUCUGGAUGAGUUGCGAACGGGUGAGUAACGCGUAGGUAACCUGCCUGGUAGCGGGGGAUAACUAUUGGAAACGAUAGCUAAUACCGCAUAAGAGUAGAUGUUGCAUGACAUUUGCUUAAAAUGUUCAAUUGCAUCACUACCAGAUGGACCUGCGUUGUAUUAGCUAGUUGGUGGGGUAACGGCUCAUCAAGGCGACUAUACAUAGCCGACCUGAGAGGGUGGUCGGCCACACUGGGACUGAGACACGGCCCAGACUCCUACGGGAGGCAGCAGUAGGGAAUCUUCGGCAAUGGACGGAAGUCUGACCGAGCAACGCCGCGUGAGUGAAGAAGGUUCUCGGAUCGUAAAGCUCUGUUGUAAGAGAAGAACGAGUGUGAGAGUGGAAAGUGCACACUGUGACGGUAUCUUACCAGAAAGGGACGGCUAACUACGUG